ACAAAAAUUUCUUUGACAGAAGAAGAGUUUAACUCUCCAUGGUUUUCUUUGUUCGCAACAUAUUAUACUAUCAAUUAUAACUUUUCAUUCCAAGUAGAGAAAUUUAAAUUAACAAAUAUAACGAUAACUUCACGAUAAAAUACUUCAAAUAUAUGUAGAUAUAAAAGUACGUAAUUGUAUGACGUUGUCGAGGGUAAAAUGGGAUGUGAUUGUGUUUUGAGAGAUUUUUACAGCUGUGGUUAAAUAGAAAGUUAAUUAAAGCUGCUUUCAUGAAAAAAACUGGAAGUCGAGAUACUCUAAAAGGAAAAAUAAAUGGUUUGUGUAACGUUGCAUCAAAUUAAUUCUACAGGGAAUUGCAAUUAUGAUCGAAUUUAAUUCGAGUUUGACAAGAAUAUACCUACAUCAUUUUUCUAUUCUUUUAUUUUUUGAAUAUCAAAUUUUGCUAAAUUCAGACAAUUCCGAGAAAUGAUAAAAGUUAUAUUGUAACUCAUAUUGAAAAUAUGAAUCAUAUCUAAAAGCAAUAUCCUUCCGUUUCAUAAAUUAUGUUAUCGAUUGACAUCUAUAACUCAGUAAGUUCUAAGUAUUGUAAUCUGUUUUCUUCGAAAAUUGUUCAUUUUUUCAUAUAAAAGAUAAUUUUCUAAUUGUUUAUUUCUCUCGUAUACGCACAGAUAUAACCUUUUUAUUAUUAUCGAAAUUGUUUAAGUGGUUCAAUAAGUUAGAAAAAAAGAGUUACACUACAGUUUCUACUACAGUAGCUUUACAAUUAAUUAUUUCUGAAAGGUGGUUGUUCUAUUUCUACACAGGAAAAGUAGAUAUUAGUGAGCGAUAUAAAAAUCAUUAACACUAUCUUUCGACCAUAUGUGGGUCACGCCAGUCUUCAGAAAUUUAUGAUUCUCACGUGGUUCAUAGAGCUUUGUGACUCUUUACAGUUCAGAGUCAACAAUUCAAAAUAUCUUUAACACGUAACAUUUUCACACCCAAAAAAUACGCAACCGGAUAAAAUAAUUAUAACUUGAAUAUAAGAAACAGAGUCUUUGUUAAUUCUAGUGAAAAAUCUUAAACUACGUAUCUAUGUAGAUGCUUCCAACCAGUUUCUAUUAAACUAAUUUAUCAAUCUUAUCAAUCCUGAAGAAAGUUUUCGUACACACCCCCUACAUUUUCUAAAACGACGCUUCUUCAAUAUUAAUUUUUGUUUUUGAAAGGGAAAUACUUUGGUAAGUCAUUUUAUUAUUAAAAUUCUAAAAACGCUAAAACGUGACUUUUUCUGAUUGCCAGCAUACAAUUCGCUAGCAUCCAUCGUCGAUCCACCGUUCGUCUUCGAUCACCAGAAACGAUGCAAUAUCCCUCUGCAGCCAUUCGUGACGCGUCGUUUUAAUUACCAGGUCGCGUUCGAUCAUUCUUCGCGAACAUAAACCAUCCUACACCGCGAUCAUGCCAAUAUGCUAGCCACAUGCUUGAAACUAACCACCUACAUGUAUAUUAAACUGGGUGCUUCGAAACUUUGUAACGAGCCUUACAAGCAAUAGCCUAUGAUUUAUCGCGCGAUCGACCUCACAGGAGAUUGACAAGAAAUCGCGAUCUGAAAUUCCAAGUUGCAAGUUCUUGCGCAUCUAACAUGAGCUUAAAGAUCCACAAGAUCAUUCUGCCAUGACAAAAUGAUGAUUUAUAACCGUGGUGACCGAGCAUGCGUGCAAACCAAGUCUGGUAUCGUCGUCGUUUCCUCGAAUUCGCGAUAGAUACCGGCGAGUAAUCGAGAUUUGUUAACGCACUGGUCAGCACCACGUGUGCUGAUAGAAUUCUGAUCGGCAGCGGGACGACGAUAGAGAAAUCGUUUCUGCAUUGGUUCGUCAUUGGUUCCAAGUUCUAUAGAUAAAAUGGCAAGGAAAUACGAGAAAGCGGAAGAAAAUUGCGCGAGAAUGUGCUAAGUGAAAGAAUUUAUUAUAAUACAGUAAAUAACUGAACAAAUAAUAGUUAACAAAUUAGUUAGUGUAAUUAGAAAUAUAGGUAUAGAGUUACCGCAAAGAGAUCAGAAGAGGAAGUCGGAUAUAAAGGUUACAUAUAUGCAAUAUGGAGAACAGCGGCGCAAUAUGGAGAAGGAAGUUGCUAUCAGAGCUCGCGAUAGUCAUCCAACGAUAAAGAGCAAGCCGACUCGAAUUUAUUGAAGCGAACCGUGCACCGAUAAACCUGUUUAUCUGGAGAGAAGAGAAAAAGCUGGGAUACUAAUCACCACUGGAAACUGAAGCUCCGAUUUGAUCACUCGGUUGAGUAAUAUCGCGCGAUUUUCAGCUUUUGAAAUUCACCUUUCAUUUUGAGGGAUGUUUGUAAAUGGUGGCAUUAUUUAGAGGGUGGUUGGAUGAUUAAUGAUAAUGGUACGGUCAUCAAUAUGGGAUAGUUUUUUUUUUGUAAAGGUGUACGAGCACGUAUGUAUGUAAUAAAAAGAAGAAAUGUUGCAAAAAAUAGAUAUAGGAUAUAGAGUAACGGACAAGAAAAAAUUUAUAAACUAAAAAGUAUAGGAAGACGCUAUAAUUUUACAAGAUGAAUUUAUACCUAACAAAAGCAACGAAUAAAUAAGUAUAGUACUUCUGGGAAAAA